rnacentral:tRNA from 1 species
GGGGAUAUAGCUCAGCAGUGUAGUGUCUGCCUGGUAAGCAUAAGGUCUUGAGUUCAAUUCCUGAUAGCCUUA